CGAAGAAAUUUCUGUCACGAAUGAUGAACACCGGAUGCAGUAAACGAACAACCCUCUCCAGUGACGAAAGACAGUUCACUACAAGAAAGCUCCCAGACAAAACCUCCAGCCAUACUAACACCUUUACCUGCCCUACUGGACUCUCCAUCUCCAACUAGAGCAACGUCUUCACCUGCUCUACUGGACACUGCACCUCCAGCUACACUAACGCCUGCCCCUCAGGACUCUCCAGCUUCUGUGCAAGCAUCUUUAACUACUAAAAAAGAUCUUUGGCCAAAGUAUCAAAGAAUUCACUCGAGGAUCAAGCUGAUCCAUUAGCUGGGUUCUUGAAAUCUUUUAGUAAAAAUAUAAAGGAGCAACUAUCAGCUAUGAAGACUACUCUUUCAACAAAAAUUAAUGCAUUAGAUGUCAAACUAAUAGUUAUGCAAAAGGAUGUAGAUGAGAUUAAGACUUUUAUAAUGGAAUCAAGACAAAUGACAAAAAAUAAAAGAUUAGUGGCAUUUCAAACUUGAAAAGUUACGAUGCACACCAUUUUCCUAUGUCAUCCAUGGAAAACUUUGACAACUUCGACAGUGAUCUAGAAGGUCAAUGUUCGAUGCUUUACAACAACAUCUUCUUUGUACGACUAACACAAGUUAUGAUUUAAUGAAAAUCAUUACCAGCAUUUUUAAAACAUUUCUGUCAAGAGAUGUAAUAAUGUCGUUUACAGCCCAAAAAAAAAGCAAGGAUAAAAGGAUACAAAAUUCUUUAGAUGUAUAAAAGAAUCGCUAAUGCAAGCUUUUGAUAAAAAAAAGUGAUCGACGAUUCGACGCUCCCGACCACAAUUGGAGCUGUCAUCAAUAACUCCUACGACUGGAAUGGCUACAGAAGCAAGAGGCAGAGGAUAGACGCAGUUUAACCCUAGAAUCUCGUAUAUUAAAUUACUUUUUUUGAACUAACUAACUUUGUAUUUUUUAAAUAAAAAUCAUUCA